rnacentral:rRNA from 1 species
UGAGGACGAUCAGCCACACUGGGACUGAGACACGGCCCAGACUCCUACGGGAGGCCAGCAGUAGGGAAUCUUGCGCAAUGGGCGAAAGCCUGACGCAGCAAUGCCGCGUGCGGGACGAAGGCCCUAGGGUCGUAAACCGCUUUCAGUAGGGACGAAAAUGACGGUACCUGCAGAAGAAGCUCCGGCCAACUACGUGCCAGCAGCCGCGGUGAUACGUAGGGAGCAAGCGUUGUCCGGAAUUACUGGGCGUAAAGGGCUCGUAGGUGGUUGAGUAAGUCAGAUGUGAAAUCUCAGGGCCCAACCCUGAGCCUGCAUUUGAUACUGCUCUGACUAGAGUCCGGUAGGGGAGUGCGGAACUCCUGGUGUAGCGGUGAAAUGCGCAGAUAUCAGGAAGAACACCGACAGCGAAGGCAGCACUCUGGGCCGGUACUGACACUGAGGAGCGAAAGCAUGGGUAGCAAACAGGAUUAGAUACCCUGGUAGUCCAUGCCGUAAACGUUGGGCACUAGGUGUGGGGAGAACUCAACUCUCUCCGCGCCGUAGCUAACGCAUUAAGUGCCCCGCCUGGGGAGUACGGCCGCAAGGCUAAAACUCAAAGGAAUUGACGGGGGCCCGCACAAGCGGCGGAGCAUGUUGCUUAAUUCGAGGCAACGCGAAGAACCUUACCUGGGUUGAACUACGUGGGAAAAGCCGCAGAGAUGCGGUGUCCUUCGGGGUCCACGAUAGGUGGUGCAUGGCUGUCGUCAGCUCGUGUCGUGAGAUGUUGGGUUAAGUCCCGCAACGAGCGCAACCCUUGUCCUAUGUUGCCAGCGGGUAAAGCCGGGGACUCGUAGGAGACUGCCGGGGUCAACUCGGAGGAAGGUGGGGACGACGUCAAGUCAUCAUGCCCCUUAUGUCCAGGGCUGCAAACAUGCUACAAUGGCCGGUACAAAGGGCAGCUAAACCGCGAGGUCAAGCGAAUCCCAAAAAGCCGGUCUCAGUUCGGAUUGAAGUCUGCAACUCGACUUCAUGAAGCUGGAGUCGCUAGUAAUCCCGGAUCAGCAACGCCGGGGUGAAUACGUUCCCGGGCCUUGUACACACCGCCCGUCACACGCCGAAAGUCGAUAACACCCGAAGUCAGUGGCCCAACCCUUUAGGGAGGGAGCUGCCGAAGGUGGGAUUGGCGAUUGGGGUGAAGUCGUAACAAGGUAGCCGUACCGGAAGGUGCGGCUG